rnacentral:rRNA from 1 species
UACGGAGGAUCCAAGCGUUAUCCGGAUUUAUUGGGUUUAAAGGGUGCGUAGGCGGUUUUAUAAGUUAGAGGUGAAAAUUCGGGGCUCAACUCCGGACGUGCCUCUAAUACUGUAUGACUAGAGAAUAGAUGCGGUAGGCGGAAUGUGUAGUGUAGCGGUGAAAUGCAUAGAUAUUACACAGAACACCGAUUGCGAAGGCAGCUUGCUAGGCCGGAUCUGACACUGAUGCACGAAAGCGUGGGGAUCGAACAGG